rnacentral:rRNA from 1 species
AUAUCAGUAAGCGGAGGAAAAGAAACUAACAAGGAUUCCCUUAGUAACGGCGAGUGAAGUGGGAAAAGCUCAAAUUUUAAAUCUGGUACCAUCGGUAUCCGAAUUGUAUUUGAUAGAAUCAUCUUGGGGCUAUUAUCAUAGUUCAAGUCCUUUGGAAAGAGGCAUCAAAGAGGGUGACAAUCCCGUCUAGGCUAUGCAUAAUGGGUCCAUAUCAAGUUGAUUUAACGAGUCGGGUUGUUUGGGAAUGCAGCCCAAAAUGGGAGGUACAUUUCUCCUAAAGCUAAAUAUAGGCAAGAGACCGAUAGCGCACAAGUA